AGCAGCCGCGGUAAUUCCAGCUCCAAUAGCGUAUAUUAAAGUUGUUGCAGUUAAAAAGCUCGUAGUUGAAUUUCGGGAUCAAAUUGUUGGUCGUGCUUCGGUACGCACUGGCAUUAUUGGUUCCUACCUUCUGAAGAACCGCGAUGUCAUUAAUUUGGUGUCGUGGGGAAUCAGGACUGUUACUUUGAAAAAAUUAGAGUGUUUAAAGCAGGCUUACGCUUGAAUACAUUAGCAUGGAAUAAUGAAAUAGGACGUUUGACCCUAUUUUGUUGGUUUCUAGGAUCGACGUAAUGAUUAAUAGGGAUAGUUGGGGGCAUUAGUAUUCAAUUGUCAGAGGUGAAAUUCUUGGAUUUAUUGAAGACUAACUACUGCGAAAGCAUUUGCCAAGGAUGUUUUCAUUAAUCAAGAACGAAAGUUAGGGGAUCGAAGACGAUCAGAUACCGUCGUAGUCUUAACCAUAAACUAUGCCGACUAGGGAUCGGAUGAUGUUAAUUUUAUAAUGACUC
rnacentral:rRNA from 1 species